UUCACAUUAAUGUAGGUUUGUUUUUGUAAGCAAUGUGAAUAAAUAACAUAAAUGUUUCACCGACUUGUUCAUUAUUGUCAACACCGAUUUGUUUUGGUGCUUUAUUUCACGGUAACAGGAGCUCUGCCAGUUAAGAGCAGAACUAACUUCUCAGAGUACCGUAUUUAAUGGGGAAACCAAAAUAUUGAAAGAGUUGUGGC
rnacentral:lncRNA from 1 species